rnacentral:misc_RNA from 1 species
UCAACAAACUAACAGUUUUUUUCCUUCCAAAACAACUGCUCUUCUUGUCUAAUUCUAAACUUUCUCCUACUAUACGUGACAUAUGAUAAAGCUAAUAUCCUAGUAACUGAAAUUUUAGUGCGGCAGCUCAUCCCAAAUUCCAGUUGAAACAAGGGUUGUCAUAUCAUGAUGGCAGAUUGUACGAGGGCACAACUGUAUUUAAGACAGAAUUUAUUUGCUCGGUAUCACAAUAGUGCAAUUGGAGGCCAUUCAGGUAUUCACAACACUUAUUUGAGGUUGCAGAAUCAUUUUUAUUGGCUUGGCAUGCACUCAGAUGUGUUUAAGUGUAACAGUGUGCAGAUUGCGCUCAGUGUAAAGGUAUUACAUACUGUAGAAAGGAGGUAUAGGAAUAAAGAUAGGAAGUAAUGUAG